rnacentral:rRNA from 1 species
AAAAGUAAGUAAGGGCACAUGGCGGAUGCCUUGGCUCUCGGAGGCGAUGAAGGACGUGAUAAGCUGCGAUAAGCUGCGGGUAGGUGCAAAUGACCUUUGAUCCGCGGAUUUCCGAAUGGGACAACCCGGUACUUUGAAGAAGUAUCAUCCUGCAUUGCAGGAGGCUAACGCAGGGAACUGAAACAUCUUAGUACCUGCAGGAAAAGAAAAUAAACAAUGAUUCCCCCAGUAGUGGCGAGCGAACGGGGAACAGCCCAAACCAUCCAUGUUACGGCAUGGGUGGGGUUGUAGGACCACGCCGUGGCAAGAAAGUUGGUGAGCAGAAUGUUCUGGAAAGUACAGCCAUAGAGCAUGACAGCUGCGUAUGCGAAGCCAAGCGAAGCCUAGUGGUAUCCUGAGUAGCGCGGAGCACGAGGAAUUCUGCGUGAAUCUGCCGGGACCAUCCGGUAAGGCUAAAUACUCCCGAGAGACCGAUAGUGAACCAGUACUGUGAAGGAAAGGUGAAAAGCACUUCGAACAGAAGAGUGAAAUAGUUCCUGAAACCAUGUGCCUACAAGCGGUCGGAGCACCUUUUGGUGUGACGGCGUGCCUUUUGCAUAAUGAACCUACGAGUUACUUUUUCCGGCGAGGUUAAGGAUUUCAGAUCUGCAGCCGAAGCGAAAGCGAGUCUGAACAGGGCGUAUAGUCGGAAGGAGUAGACGCGAAACCAAGUGAUCUACCCUUGGGCAGGUUGAAGGAUGGGUAACACCAUCUGGAGGACCGAACCAAUAAGCGUUGAAAAGCUUCUGGAUGACCUGAGGGUGGGGGUGAAAGGCUAAUCAAACUUGGAGAUAGCUCGUACUCCCCGAAAUGCAUUUAGGUGCAGCCUUGACUUAUACUGGCAUGAGGUAGAGCGACUGAUAAGAUGCGAGGGCUUCACCGCCUAUCAAGUCUUGACAAACUCCGAAUGCGUGUCAGUUCUAUGUCAGGAGUGAGGGCAUGGGUGCUAAGGUCCAUGUCCUAAAGGAGAACAAUCCGGACCAACAGCUAAGGUCCCGAAAUGAAUACUAAGUUGAACUAACGAAGUCAGAUUGCUAAGACAGCUAGGAUGUUGGCUUGGAAGCAGCCAUUCAUUUAAAGAGUGCGUAACAGCUCACUAGUCGAGGAGUUUGGCGUGGAUAAUAAUCGGGCAUAAGUAUUCUACCGAAGCUUUGGGAUGAGAAAUCAUCGGUAGGGGAGCAUUCCACUCUGCGUCGAAGGUGAGGCGUGAGUCUUGCUGGAGCGUGUGGAAAAGCAAAUGUAGGUAUAAGUAACGAUAAGGCAGGCGAGAAACCUGCCCGCCGAAAGACUAAGGUUUCCUGAUCAACGCUAAUCGGAUCAGGGUAAGUCGGGUCCUAAGGCUCAGCCGAACGGCGAGGCCGAUGGCAGAACCGGUUAAUAUUCCGGUACUACCUGUGGGAGUGACGUGGAGACGGAGUCGUGACAGCGCCGCGGACUGACGGAAUAGUCCGUUGAAGGGUGUAGAUGCUGAUUGUUCCAGGCAAAUCCGGAGCAAGAGUCGAACCUGACAGUAUGGAGCGUUCUUAGAACAAUCCAAUAGUGCGUGUAAUCAUACUUCCAAGAAAAUCCGCUAAACUUAAUCCUGCAGGUACCCGUACCGCAAACGGACACACGUAGUCGGGUUGAAUAUACUAAGGCGCUUGAGUGAUUCACGGUUAAGGAACUAGGCAAACUGACCCUGUAACUUCGGGAUAAAGGGUCCUCGCUUUACGGCGAGGCGCAGAGAAUAGGUCCAGGCAACUGUUUAACAAAAACACAGGGCUGUGCAAAAUUGAAAGAUGAAGUAUACAGCCUGACACCUGCCCGGUGCUGGAAGGUUAAGAGGAGAUGUCAUCGCAAGAGAAGCAUUGAAUUGAAGCCCCAGUAAACGGCGGCCGUAACUAUAACGGUCCUAAGGUAGCGAAAUUCCUUGUCGGGU